rnacentral:rRNA from 1 species
UACGUAGGGGGCUAGCGUUGUCCGGAUUUAUUGGGCGUAAAGAGCUCGUAGGCGGUCUGUCGCGUCGGCUGUGAAAACCCGAGGCUCAACCUCGGGCCUGCAGUCGAUACGGGCAAACUAGAGUACUGCAGGGGAGAUUGGAAUUUACGGUGUAGCAGUGAAAUGCGUAGAUAUCGUAAGGAAGACCAGUGGCGAAGGCGAAUCUCUGGACAGUUACUGACACUGAGGCACGAAGGCCAGGGGAGCAAACGGG